GUAGGUGGCAAGCGUUGUCCGGAAUUAUUGGGCGUAAAGCGCGCGCAGGCGGUUCUUUAAGUCUGAUGUGAAAGCCCACGGCUCAACCGUGGAGGGUCAUUGGAAACUGGAGAACUAGAGUACAGAAGAGGAAAGCGGAAUUCCACGUGUAGCGGUGAAAUGCGUAGAGAUGUGGAGGAACACCAGUGGCGAAGGCGGCUUUCUGGUCUGUAACUGACGCUGAGGCGCGAAAGCGUGGGGAGCAAACAGGAUUAGAUACCCUGGUAGUCCACGCCGUAAACGAUGAGUGCUAAGUGUUAGGGGGUUUCCGCCCCCCUUAGUGCUGCAGCUAACGCAUUAAGCACUCCGCCUGGGAGUACGGCCGCAAGGCUG
rnacentral:rRNA from 1 species